AAAGAUGGCACCUUAAGAGGUGCUUCGGGAGGAACCGGAGCUCCCGCGCUGGGAGGUCUCAUUCCUUGGUCCCACUCCAGCUCCGGAGGAAUCCGCAGUCAGGAAGCCUCGCAGGGCGGAGCCACCGAAUUGUAAACAAUGGCGGCCGACCUCCUCCGUUUCCCGAGGAACCCAGAGGGCGAGACCCCUGAUCCCGACCUAAGGGUAUCGCGGAUUUGGAUUGGGUCUGGGGCCCCGGACACCCUGUGUAGCCCAGGGCCUCCUGACAUCCCGAGGGCCUCUGGAGCCAAGGCCCGUGCAGGUCUGGGUUUGAGGCCUUUCCCCAGAAACCGCAGGUCCGGCGAGGACUCGGGACCCCGAACUCACCCAGCUGGCGAGGGAGAAGACACCCAGGACAGCCCCCAUGGUGACGCCAGUGAUGGAGGUGGCAGGUCCUGAGGCUGCUUUCUAAUGCGGUGAAAUGGAAGGAGGCUCACAGUGUGCCCAAGGCCAUGAAAAGUGUUGAUGAAA